AAGAAGAGAGAGGGCACAUGUAUGGGAACUUGUAUUCGUGUUUUAGACUGAUAUAAUACUUAGUUGUAUACUUUUAACAAAGAGACCUCCUAUACAAAGUAUUUCAUAAAUAAGAUCGAGAAAUAGUCGAUAUAUAAAAAAUACAUAUAGUGUGACGUGAUCCUAAACUCGACUGAUGCUUCUUUCCUGUAAAUGUGAUCCUAAAUUCGACUUAUGAAACAAAAAAAUUCCACUUUCAUUCUCCAAAU